UGAGGAAUAUUGGUCAAUGGGCGCGAGCCUGAACCAGCCAAGUAGCGUGCAGGAUGACGGCCCUAUGGGUUGUAAACUGCUUUUGUAUGGGGAUAAAGUCAAUCACGUGUGAUUGUUUGCAGGUACCAUACGAAUAAGGACCGGCUAAUUCCGUGCCAGCAGCCGCGGUAAUACGGAAGGUCCGGGCGUUAUCCGGAUUUAUUGGGUUUAAAGGGAGCGUAGGCUGGAGAUUAAGUGUGUUGUGAAAUGUAGACGCUCAACGUCUGACUUGCAGCGCAUACUGGUUUCCUUGAGUACGCACAACGUUGGCGGAAUUCGUCGUGUAGCGGUGAAAUGCUUAGAUAUGACGAAGAACUCCGAUUGCGAAGGCAGCUGACGGGAGCGCAACUGACGCUGAAGCUCGAAGGUGCGGGUAUCGAACAGGAUUAGAUACCCUGGUAGUCCGCACAGUAAACGAUGGAUGCCCGCUGUUGGUACCUGGUAUCAGCGGCUAAGCGAAAGCAUUAAGCAUCCCACCUGGGGAGUACGCCGGCAACGGUG
rnacentral:rRNA from 1 species